UACGUAGGUGGCAAGCGUUACUCGGAAUCACUAGGCGUAAAGCGCAGGUAGGCGGUUCGGUAAGUCUCUUGUGAAAGCUCCCGGCUCAACUGGGAGAGGUCAAGGGAAACUACCGGGCUAGAGUGUGGCAGAGGAAGCUGGAAUUCCCGGUGUAGCGGUGAAAUGCGUAGAUAUCUGGAGGAACACCGGUGGCGAAGGCGGCAUCCUGGACCGACACUGACACUGAGGAGCGAAAGCGUGGGGAGCGAACAGG
rnacentral:rRNA from 1 species